GGGCUGGGUUUUUACCCAUCUAAGAUUAAUUGGGUCAACCAUGGGUAUUAAUUUUAAAACCCAUAUUUAUGUUGGGUAAAUACAAAAGGGUAAUGGUGUACCCAUGGGUUUUCAAUUAUAUAUAUAGAUAUUUACCAUUUUAAUUAAAUUAUAUAAAAAUUGCAAAAACGUUUUUUUCCGUCAGAACCAAAAAAUGAUUUUUUUUCGCAAAAACCCUAAAACUAAUAUUUCUAACAGAAACCAAAAACGAGUUUUCCCGCUGAAACCGAAAAAUCGAGUUUUUCUACCGAAACCACAAAACUUGUUUUUCCGCCAAAACCAUAAAACUAAGUUUCCC
rnacentral:lncRNA from 1 species